rnacentral:lncRNA from 1 species
GCAGGGUAAUGCGCAGAGCGGGGCCGGCGCUGUCCGAGGCGAGCAGGCAGCGUUGCAAGGGGAAGGACCCAGAAGCGCGGCGGGAGCAGCGACUGCGUUUUAGCCGCUGAGCGGCCUGCAGGCCUACAGCCCGCGAAGGCACUCUCGGGGGCGUGUGGCUCUGAGGGCCAGGGAGGUCGCAGGCGGCGGCCGGAGCGCAGAGGAGCGGCUUCAGCCGGGCGGAGGGGUGUGAGCCCGGCCCGUGGCGGCCACGUCUCCCGGGAGAUGCUGUGACGGACCCGCACGGGAGGAGCUCGCGCCUGGCCUGGCGACCCGGUGGACUCGGCCCGCGGCGCUCACCCGCCCUGUUCAGUGGAAGUAUGCGAGACUUAAGAGCUCAAGUGACUAGUGGUCUCCUGCCAUUUCCAGAAGUGACUCUUCAAGCCCUUGGAGAAGACGAAAUAACAUUAGAAUCUGUGCUUCGUGGCAAGUUUGCUGCAGGGAAAAAUGGACUUGCUUGCUUGGCUUGUGGUCCACAACUUGAGGUAGUAAACUCUAUAACAGGAGAGCGAUUGUCUGCUUACAGAUUCAGUGGAGUCAAUGAACAGCCUCCUGUAGUUUUAGCUGUGAAAGAAUUCUCUUGGCAGAAGAGAACUGGAUUAUUAAUAGGAUUGGAAGAAACAGAAGGGAGUGUUCUCUGUCUUUAUGACCUUGGAAUAUCAAAAGUAGUUAAAGCAGUUGUUCUUCCUGGAA